GGGUUGUGAGGUUAAGCGACUAAGCGUACACGGUGGAUGCCCUGGCAGUCAGAGGCGAUGAAGGACGUGCUAAUCUGCGAUAAGCGUCGGUAAGGUGAUAUGAACCGUUAUAACCGGCGAUUUCCGAAUGGGGAAACCCAGUGUGAUUCGUCACACUAUCAUUAACUGAAUCCAUAGGUUAAUGAGGCGAACCGGGGGAACUGAAACAUCUAAGUACCCCGAGGAAAAGAAAUCAACCGAGAUUCCCCCAGUAGCGGCGAGCGAACGGGGNNNNNNNNNNNNNNNNNNNNNNNNNNNNNNNNNNNNNNNNNNNNNNNNNNNNNNNNNNNNNNNNNNNNNNNNNNNNNNNNNNNNNNNNNNNNNNNNNNNNNNNNNNNNNGUGUGACUGCGUACCUUUUGUAUAAUGGGUCAGCGACUUAUAUUCUGUAGCAAGGUUAACCGAAUAGGGGAGCCGAAGGGAAACCGAGUCUUAACUGGGCGUUAAGUUGCAGGGUAUAGACCCGAAACCCGGUGAUCUAGCCAUGGGCAGGUUGAAGGUUGGGUAACACUAACUGGAGGACCGAACCGACUAAUGUUGAAAAAUUAGCGGAUGACUUGUGGCUGGGGGUGAAAGGCCAAUCAAACCGGGAGAUAGCUGGUUCUCCCCGAAAGCUAUUUAGGUAGCGCCUCGUGAAUUCAUCUCCGGGGGUAGAGCACUGUUUCGGCAAGGGGGUCAUCCCGACUUACCAACCCGAUGCAAACUGCGAAUACCGGAGAAUGUUAUCACGGGAGACACACGGCGGGUGCUAACGUCCGUCGUGAAGAGGGAAACAACCCAGACCGCCAGCUAAGGUCCCAAAGUCAUGGUUAAGUGGGAAACGAUGUGGGAAGGCCCAGACAGCCAGGAUGUUGGCUUAGAAGCAGCCAUCAUUUAAAGAAAGCGUAAUAGCUCACUGGUCGAGUCGGCCUGCGCGGAAGAUGUAACGGGGCUAAACCAUGCACCGAAGCUGCGGCAGCGACGCUUAUGCGUUGUUGGGUAGGGGAGCGUUCUGUAAGCCUGCGAAGGUGUGCUGUGAGGCAUGCUGGAGGUAUCAGAAGUGCGAAUGCUGACAUAAGUAACGAUAAAGCGGGUGAAAAGCCCGCUCGCCGGAAGACCAAGGGUUCCUGUCCAACGUUAAUCGGGGCAGGGUGAGUCGACCCCUAAGGCGAGGCCGAAAGGCGUAGUCGAUGGGAAACAGGUUAAUAUUCCUGUACUUGGUGUUACUGCGAAGGGGGGACGGAGAAGGCUAUGUUGGCCGGGCGACGGUUGUCCCGGUUUAAGCGUGUAGGCUGGUUUUCCAGGCAAAUCCGGAAAACUAAGGCUGAGGCGUGAUGACGAGGCACUACGGUGCUGAAGCAACAAAUGCCCUGCUUCCAGGAAAAGCCUCUAAGCAUCAGGUAACAUCAAAUCGUACCCCAAACCGACACAGGUGGUCAGGUAGAGAAUACCAAGGCGCUUGAGAGAACUCGGGUGAAGGAACUAGGCAAAAUGGUGCCGUAACUUCGGGAGAAGGCACGCUGAUAUGUAGGUGAAGUCCCUCGCGGAUGGAGCUGAAAUCAGUCGAAGAUACCAGCUGGCUGCAACUGUUUAUUAAAAACACAGCACUGUGCAAACACGAAAGUGGACGUAUACGGUGUGACGCCUGCCCGGUGCCGGAAGGUUAAUUGAUGGGGUCAGCGCAAGCGAAGCUCUUGAUCGAAGCCCCGGUAAACGGCGGCCGUAACUAUAACGGUCCUAAGGUAGCGAAAUUCCUUGUCGGGUAAGUUCCGACCUGCACGAAUGGCGUAAUGAUGGCCAGGCUGUCUCCACCCGAGACUCAGUGAAAUUGAACUCGCUGUGAAGAUGCAGUGUACCCGCGGCAAGACGGAAAGACCCCGUGAACCUUUACUAUAGCUUGACACUGAACAUUGAGCCUUGAUGUGUAGGAUAGGUGGGAGGCUUUGAAGUGUGGACGCCAGUCUGCAUGGAGCCGACCUUGAAAUACCACCCUUUAAUGUUUGAUGUUCUAACGUUGACCCGUGAUCCGGGUUGCGGACAGUGUCUGGUGGGUAGUUUGACUGGGGCGGUCUCCUCCUAAAGAGUAACGGAGGAGCACGAAGGUUGGCUAAUCCUGGUCGGACAUCAGGAGGUUAGUGCAAUGGCAUAAGCCAGCUUGACUGCGAGCGUGACGGCGCGAGCAGGUGCGAAAGCAGGUCAUAGUGAUCCGGUGGUUCUGAAUGGAAGGGCCAUCGCUCAACGGAUAAAAGGUACUCCGGGGAUAACAGGCUGAUACCGCCCAAGAGUUCAUAUCGACGGCGGUGUUUGGCACCUCGAUGUCGGCUCAUCACAUCCUGGGGCUGAAGUAGGUCCCAAGGGUAUGGCUGUUCGCCAUUUAAAGUGGUACGCGAGCUGGGUUUAGAACGUCGUGAGACAGUUCGGUCCCUAUCUGCCGUGGGCGCUGGAGAACUGAGGGGGGCUGCUCCUAGUACGAGAGGACCGGAGUGGACGCAUCACUGGUGUUCGGGUUGUCAUGCCAAUGGCACUGCCCGGUAGCUAAAUGCGGAAGAGAUAAGUGCUGAAAGCAUCUAAGCACGAAACUUGCCCCGAGAUGAGUUCUCCCUGACUCCUUGAGAGUCCUGAAGGAACGUUGAAGACGACGACGUUGAUAGGCCGGGUGUGUAAGCGCAGCGAUGCGUUGAGCUAACCGGUACUAAUGAACCGUGAGGCUUAACCUUACAACGCCGAAGGUGUUU
rnacentral:rRNA from 1 species